GAGCUGAACUCAAAGAUCCAAGAUGUUUUCUAUGUACACAAAAUACCUGUUUCUCUCAAAUACUGUUCACAAGUCUGUCUAAAUCUGUGUUAGUGAGCACUUAUCCUUUGCCAAGAUAAUCCAUCCACCUCACAGGUGUGGCAUAUCAAGAUACUGAUUAGACAGCAUGAUUAUUGCAAAGGUGUGCCUUAGACUGGCCACAAUAAAAGGCCACUCUAAAUGUGCAGACUUGACAAAUUUGUGAACAAUAUUUGAGAGAAAUAGGUAUUUUGUGUACAUAGAAAAAGUCUUAGAUCUUUGAGUUCAGCUC